rnacentral:rRNA from 1 species
AUUGAACGCUGGCGGCAUGCCUUACACAUGCAAGUCGAACGGCAGCGGGCCUUCGGGUGCCGGCGAGUGGCGAACGGGUGAGUAAUGCAUCGGAACGUGCCAUUGAGUGGGGGAUAACGUAGCGAAAGUUACGCUAAUACCGCAUAUUCUGUGAGCAGGAAAGCAGGGGGACCGCAAAGGCCUUGCGCUCUUUGAGCGGCCGAUGUCAGAUUAGCUAGUUGGUGAGGUAAAGGCUUACCAAGGCGACGAUCUGUAGCGGGUCUGAGAGGAUGAUCCGCCACACUGGAACUGAGACACGGUCCAGACUCCUACGGGAGGCAGCAGUGGGGAAUUUUGGACAAUGGGCGCAAGCCUGAUCCAGCCAUGCCGCGUG